rnacentral:tRNA from 1 species
CAAAAAAUAGUUUAUUUAAAAUAAUAAUUUUGGAAAUUAUAGAAAAUAUUUAUAUAUUUUUUUUGA